rnacentral:siRNA from 1 species
UACACUCCUAUUUCCCUUUGUCCU